AGGGCAAGUCUGGUGCCAGCAGCCGCGGUAAUUCCAGCUCCAAUAGCGUAUAUUAAAGUUGUUGCAGUUAAAAAGCUCGUAGUUGAAUUUCGGGGUUAGUAGGUUGGUCAUGCCUCAGGUAUGUACUGAUCUCACUGAUUCCUCCUUCCUGAUGAACCGUAAUGCCAUUAAUUUGGUGUUGCGGGGAAACUGGACUGUUACUUUGAAAAAAUUAGAGUGUUUAAAGCAGGCUAACGCUUGAAUACAUUAGCAUGGAAUAAUGAAAUAGGACGUUCGAUCCUAUUUUGUUGGUUUCUAGGAUUGACGUAAUGAUUAAUAGGGAUAGUUGGGGGCAUUAGUAUUCAAUUGUCAGAGGUGAAAUUCUUGGAUUUAUUGAAGACUAACUACUGCGAAAGCAUUUGCCAAGGAUGUUUUCAUUAAUCAGGAACGAAAGUUAGGGGAUCGAAGACGAUCAGAUACCGUCGUAGUCUUAACCAUAAACUAUGCCGACUAGGGAUCGGAUGAUGUUAAUUUUUUAAUGACUCAUUCGGCGCCUUACGGGAA
rnacentral:rRNA from 1 species